GUAUUAUUAUCCUAUGCGGUCGAAGGGACAGGCGUGCUGUCAGUGACCAGGAAAACAGUAAAAUAUCAUCAAUUAUUCCAGAAUGUUCCAGAAAGCCUUCAUCCUCUUCAUCAUAGGUCUGCUGGCUCACAGUCACACCCAGAUGAUGUCAGAAGAAUCCCUAGUCUUCAUCACAAGCCUGGUCUUCUCCCCCCAUCUUUCCACGGACCCCAAUGAGGCUGGGGCAAUAUUUGGACCUCAUGAGGCCUGCCCGAGCGAAGCACCAGUGAAACGUAGGAUUAGGCACUCGGAUCGAUAUGUUUGUGCGAAAAUGUAAACUGAAAAUCGUAAUUCAAGACCAAUAAAAGUAAGACUUUAAUUUUACUAGCACGUCUUGUAUUUAUGUUAGAAAUAAGUAAACAAAAGUACUUUUUAGGGUUCCGUACCCAAAGGGUAAAACGGGACCCUAUUACUAAGACUUCGCUGUCCGUCCGUCUGUUACCAGGCUGUAUCUCACGAACCGUGAUACAGACAGUUGAAAUUUUCACCUACCUAGACAGUUGAAAUUUUCACAGAUGAUGUCUUUCUGUUGCCGCUACAACAACAAAUACUAAAAACAGGCAUUUUUGCAUUAUGGUACGGAACCCUUCGUGCGCGAGUCCGACUCGCUAUUGCCCGGUUUUUUAAAUCGUAGGAGUAAAAUUACCAAUAAAUAAAUUAUCUUAGUAUGUUUAUUUAUAAAAAGGAAUUUACUAUUUUACAAACAAUGUAUUGCAGUGGCAACAUUGACUUCGGUACUUUUUUUGGUCUUGAAUUUUCAGUUUAGUGUAUUUUUAAUUUUAGUUUAAUUUUGUAAACUUUGUUAGAGAAAUGAUGAUUAUUUUCUAUAAUAAAUAUCAAUUUUGUACUUAAA